UACGGGGGGGGCAAGCGUUGUUCGGAAUUACUGGGCGUAAAGGGCGCGUAGGCGGCCCUGGUAAGUCUGCGGUGAAAGCCCGGGGCUCAACCCCGGGUCGGCCGCGGGUACUGCCGGGCUGGAGUGCCGUAGGGGCAGGCGGAAUUCCGGGUGUAGCGGUGGAAUGCGUAGAGAUCCGGAAGAACACCGGUGGCGAAGGCGGCUCUCUGGGCCUUACCUGACGCUGAGGAGCGAAAGCGUGGGUAGCGAACAGG
rnacentral:rRNA from 1 species